UGGCUUCUGAGCUGUGUCCGGACUGGGUCUU
rnacentral:piRNA from 1 species